AUUGAACGCUGGCGGCAGGCCUAACACAUGCAAGUCGAACGGUAACAGGAAGCAGCUUGCUGCUUUGCUGACGAGUGGCGGACGGGUGAGUAAUGUCUGGGAAACUGCCCGAUGGAGGGGGAUAACUACUGGAAACGGUAGCUAAUACCGCAUAACGUCGCAAGACCAAAGAGGGGGACCUUAGGGCCUCUUGCCAUCGGAUGUGCCCAGAUGGGAUUAGCUAGUAGGUGGGGUAACGGCUCACCUAGGCGACGAUCCCUAGCUGGUCUGAGAGGAUGACCAGCCACACUGGAACUGAGACACGGUCCAGACUCCUACGGGAGGUAGCAGUGGGGAAUAUUGCACAAUGGGCGCAAGCCUGAUGCAGCCAUGCCGCGUGUAUGAAGAAGGCCUUCGGGUUGUAAAGUACUUUCAGCGGGGAGGAAGGGAGUAAAGUUAAUACCUUUGCUCAUUGACGUUACCCGCAGAAGAAGCACCGGCUAACUCCGUG
rnacentral:rRNA from 1 species